rnacentral:misc_RNA from 1 species
GUUGAAGAACGCAGCGAAAUGCGAUAAGUAAUGUGAAUUGCAGAAUUCAGUGAAUCAUCGAAUCUUUGAACGCACAUUGCGCCCUCUGGUAUUCCGGGGGGCAUGCCUGUUCGAGCGUCAUUAUAACCACUCAAGCUCUCGCUUGGUAUUGGGGUUCGCGGUUUCGCGGCCCCUAAAAUCAGUGGCGGUGCCUGUCGGCUCUACGCGUAGUAAUACUUCUCGCGAUUGAGUUCGAUAGGUCUACUUGCCAGUAACCCCCAAUUUUUACAGGUUGACCUCGGAUCAGGUAGGGAUACCCGCUGAACUUAAGCAUAUCAAUAAGCGGAGGA